rnacentral:lncRNA from 1 species
UUCCCAAAACAUAAUUCUUAUCCCAACUAUAUUUUUUCUUUUUUUCAAUUUAAAUGUAUACAUGAUUCUCUGAUAUAGAAUUUUGAAUGCUCCCACGUAUAUGCUUGCUGUUCCAUUUUUUUCUUUUUUAAACUAUUUUAUUUACUUUUUCAUAUAUUAUAUAUUAUAAUUAGGAUAGAGUUUUGGGCUUAGCCCAAUAAAUAUGCUUUCCAUACAUCUCUAUUUUUUUCAUAACUACAAA